UGGGGAAUCUUGGACAAUGGGGGCAACCCUGAUCCAGCCAUGCCGCGUGGGUGAAGAAGGCCUUAGGGUUGUAAAGCCCUUUCAGUCGUGACGAUGAUGACGGUAGCGACAGAAGAAGCCCCGGCUAACUCCGUGCCAGCAGCCGCGGUAAUACGUAGGGUGCAAGCGUUGUCCGGAAUUAUUGGGCGUAAAGAGCUCGUAGGCGGUCUGUCGCGUCUGCUGUGAAAGUUCGGGGCUCAACCCCGGAACUGCAGUGGGUACGGGCAGACUAGAGUGCGGUAGAGGAGACUGGAAUUCCUGGUGUAGCGGUGGAAUGCGCAGAUAUCAGGAGGAACACCAGUGGCGAAGGCGGGUCUCUGGGCCGCAACUGACGCUGAGGAGCGAAAGCGUGGGGAGCGAACAGGAUUAGAUACCUCGGUAGUCC
rnacentral:rRNA from 1 species